rnacentral:lncRNA from 1 species
CCCAAAGAUGAUUGUGGCCAAGUUUGGAUUAAUUUGGCCCAGUAGUUUCAGAGGAGAAGAUUUUUGUAAAAGAUAACUAAGAUUUACGAACUAGAGGCUCUAAAGAGCCUGUGUCGCUCACCUUGGUCUAUGUGAAUAUUAAACAAAGGAAGCAGAUCAUGGAUUCAUGACAAAAUUGUGUUUUGGUGAUGGUGAUGUGUUUGUACUUCUUACUUUACUGAACAUUCUUGCUGCUUACAGUUAUCUCUAUCUAUAAUG